UACUUUAACUUUACUUUUAUUUAACUGCGGCGGUUCUUUUUCUGAGAACAACCAUAACAAACUUCUCAAAUCGAAGUUUUUUUACCUCAGAUUUGUCGUCGGUUUGAAAGCGGACUCGUCGAGCUGUUAAUCUGCAGAACGGGUCGAGCACGAUGGGCCCGUGAAUUAAAAAAAAAAAAAAAAAAAAAAGCCCACAGCCACCACCGUUAUAUAUCCAAUGUGAAUAAGAGUAAACAGUGUGUUAUUUUGUGCUGAUAUUAGAUAGGUCAGCGGCUGCUGUCUGGCUCUUGUGUAACGGUCGGUGCGCGCGCUCUCGUGUGUGUGUGUGUGUGUGUGUGUGUGUGUGUGUGUGUGUGUGUGUGUGUGUGUGUGUGAAUCAUAGUUCACCUUAGUUGAACUUGUGUGAUCUAGUUCACGGUAGUGUGAGGCUGUUGGUCCGAUCCGGUGGCUGUUGGGAGGAUGAACAUCUCUUCUUGAUCAUUAGAAAAAAACAAACUAACGUUACCCUUAAAAGACGCAGUGUGUCGUCAUGUUUUUUGUGUAGAUGAGAAGGCUUUGAUAGUUUGCUCGCAGACAGACUGUAUUAACGGUUGUGUCGUCAUGUUUUUUGUGUAACGUUAGAUGAGAAGGUUUUGAUGGUUUGCUCGCAGACAGACUGUAUUAACGGCCGUGUGUUAAUCUCGUUAAAGUGUCCGCACGACAGAAAAUUUCAGUCUGAACUUGAAUAAUAAAAACGGUCGUCGUGGUUUAACUUACCCAACGACUCCCGUCAAGUUUCUUUUGUUUGUUUUGCCGUUGGCCGUUUCUAACAACAGCUAAAGGAGCACGAAUGAGCCAGAUGAAGCUACGAACCGGAUGAAACGUAAAUAAUUGGGGCUUGAAAUGGCGAAAAUAUUUCGGACUCAACCCAGAGAUGGAACGUACGUCCACCUUUUAUCUGCUAUAUACCUUCUGAGAGAGAAGGAGACAUUCAGAAUGCAGAUGAUGUCAGCACUUCAAAAACAACUGGAAAAAAAAGAAAGAAAAGAAAAAGGUCAUCAAUCAUUUCAGGAAUCUGUUUCCAGUUGUCUUAAUGUUGUCACUCAGCACUGGAGUUAUCUUGCCA
rnacentral:lncRNA from 1 species